rnacentral:rRNA from 1 species
CAGCCGCCGCGGUAAUACGUAGGGUGCAAGCGUUAAUCGGAAUUACUGGGCGUAAAGCGUGCGCAGGCGGUUUGUUAAGACAGAUGUGAAAUCCCCGGGCUCAACCUGGGAACUGCAUUUGUGACUGGCAGGCUAGAGUAUGGCAGAGGGGGGUGGAAUUCCGCGUGUAGCAGUGAAAUGCGUAGAUAUGCGGAGGAACACCGAUGGCGAAGGCAGCCCCCUGGGCCAAUACUGACGCUCAUGCACGAAAGCGUGGGGAGCAAACAGGAUUAGAUACCCCUGUAGUCCCUGUCUCUUAUAC